rnacentral:rRNA from 1 species
CUCUUCUGGAUGAGUUGCGAACGGGUGAGUAACGCGUAGGUAACCUGCCUGGUAGCGGGGGAUAACUAUUGGAAACGAUAGCUAAUACCGCAUAAGAGUAGAUGUCGCAUGACAUUUGCUUAAAAGGUGCAAUUGCAUCACUACCAGAUGGACCUGCGUUGUAUUAGCUAGUUGGUGAGGUAACGGCUCACCAAGGCAACGAUACAUAGCCGACCUGAGAGGGUGAUCGGCCACACUGGGACUGAGACACGGCCCAGACUCCUACGGGAGGCAGCAGUAGGGAAUCUUCGGCAAUGGACGGAAGUCUGACCGAGCAACGCCGCGUGAGUGAAGAAGGUUUUCGGAUCGUAAAGCUCUGUUGUAAGAGAAGAACGAGUGUGAGAGUGGAAAGUUCACACUGUGACGGUAUCUUACCAGAAAGGGACGGCUAACUACGUGCCAGCAGCCGCGGUAAUACGUAGGUCCCGAGCGUUGUCCGGAUUUAUUGGGCGUAAAGCGAGCGCAGGCGGUUAGAUAAGUCUGAAGUUAAAGGCUGUGGCUUAACCAUAGUACGCUUUGGAAACUGUUUAACUUGAGUGCAAGAGGGGAGAGUGGAAUUCCAUGUGUAGCGGUGAAAUGCGUAGAUAUAUGGAGGAACACCGGUGGCGAAAGCGGCUCUCUGGCUUGUAACUGACGCUGAGGCUCGAAAG